rnacentral:rRNA from 1 species
AUAUCUAGAGGAAUACCUGUGGCGAAAAGCGGACCUCCCUGACAAAAAACUGACGCUGAGGUGCGAAAGCGUGGGGAGCUAAACAGGAUUAGAUACCCUGGUAGUCCCAUGCUGUAAACGAUGUCGACUUGGAGGUUUGUUUCCUUGAGAAGUGGCUUCCGAAGCUAACGCAUUAAGUCGACCGCCUGGGGAGUACGGCCGCAAGGCUAAAACUCAAAUGAAUUGACGGGGGCCCGCACAAGCGGUGGAGCAUGUGGUUUAAUUCGAUGCAACGCGAAGAACCUUACCUGGUCUUGACAUCCAUAAAAUUUUUUAGAGAUAAAAAAGUGCCUUUACCGGAAUUAUGAGACAGGUGCUGCAUGGCUGUCGUCAGCUCGUGUUGUGAAAUGUUGGGUUAAGUCCCGCAACGAGCGCAACCCUUGUUCUCUGUUGCCAUCAGGUUAUGCUGGGAACUCAGAGGAGACUGCCGGUUAUAAGCUGGAGGAAGGUGGGGACGACGUCAAGUCAUCAUGGCCCUUACGACCAGGGCUACACACGUGCUACAAUGGCAUAUACAAAGAGAAGCAAAUCUGCGAAGACAAGCAAAACUCAUAAAGUAUGUCUUAGUUCGGACUGGAGUCUGCAACUCGACUCCACGAAGUCGGAAUCGCUAGUAAUCGUGGAUCAGAAUGCCACGGUGAAUACGUUCCCGGGCCUUGUACUCACCGCCCGUC